AUGGAAGCAGAUGGAUAUCCAAUUGCUCCGGUUGAGGCACAUGCAUGAGGCUGCUUUUACUGUAAAUUCAGUCUUUUGCCUGCAUUUAUUUUACUGCUGUUGCUGCUGAGAACAAAUGUGUGACUAAGAACACUGAGCAGCAACAAGAGGAGGAGGAUUCCUGCUGCACCUCCGGCUCCAGCUCCAAUUCCGGCUCCAAUUCCAGCUCCAGGACUUCCACUGUCAGUUUCUGGCUGCUUGUCACGUUCUGGUUUAAGAGGAACAGGAAAAGGAAGACCCCCUUGGUGGUCUGUGGAAUGAAACAGGCAGGCAAGAUUCUGCUGCUGCACAGGGCUUCAUUUGAGGACGUACAACCCUGAAUCGCUCACAGUAGCAUUUGUGAGGGUGAGAGAAGCAAAUCCUGCUCUCAGGUUCUGAGUGAUCCUGUA